UGUACCUGAAAAUUUUUGUCCUUGUUUCGAUAGAAGGAUAUAUCAUUUUUGGCCUAUAACAAUUAUUCUUUUUCUACCCUCAAUUUAUUUAAUUUUUCAAGCCCAAUUCAUUUUAUUUGAAACUACACUUUGAAGCCCAAUUGGAGAUGAAAACCGCCACAGAUUACUCUCAAUAAUCUGUUACCGCAAAUCUUGUUCAUUAUCUGCACUACCAGAAAAAAAAGGAACCAAAUCAGUUUUACUUUCAACGUUAGACCAUCUAUAUACCUUCUGCCUUCUUCACGUUUCAUCAGACUCAAUCAAUUCAAGAAAAAAAAAAUCAGAGAGUUAGAAAUUAGAGAAAAGAGAUGACAGGAGCGUUGUGUUUUGAGAGAGGCUGAAUUGGAGGGAGAAGAGAUGACGACGGAGUGGUCCACAAGCGGAUAACAGCCGGUGAAUACGGAGCGGAAGGUCGUCCGGUUCGGCAACAGCCGCCGCGACUCAUGGCGGCGCUGCGAUGCGAGAGAACAGAGAGGGAGCGCGGUUUCAACACAAGCUACACACACUCAAUUCAAUGAAUUCCAAAUCUGAGAGAGAAAUCCGAGAAGUUCCCAAGUAUCAAUUGAGAAAGGGACCGGUGAAUAGCGGCGGUGCCGAUUGCCGCUGAGAUAGGAGAUGAAGAAGGCAGCGGCCUCGGGCGACGGAGGAGCUACCGACCAGCAACUCAUAACUGCUCGAGCAGCAGCCAACCGCGAGACGGCGGCGCGGAGUGCAGUGCUGACAGCAGCGGCUGUUCGCGAUGGAGACAACAAUGACAGCGUCAGAUUCGGAAACGGCUACAACUGCUGCUCGAACCGGUCGAUUGGUGCAGCCGACGGUGAGCAAUACCAAACAGCGAGGCAGUGACAGCAGCGGCGCGAGAAAGGCGUUGACGGAGACUCGCCGCGAUUCAGAUCUGGACAGCGGUGGCCGCGAACUAAGGCUAGCCAUGGCGGCAACUAUCGGCUCGACGGAGAGACAACGACACUGUAAAAUAAGAAAGAGAAGAUGGAGAGAUAAGCUAGAUUGGAGGAUAAAAUAGAGAGAAAUCGAGAAGAAGAGAGAAAGAUGGAGUUACUGCUCAAAGUUUGGGGGAAUUUCCUAAUUUUUUGAAUAAAAACAGAGAGUAGACGAUGGAAGGGAAAAAGGUAAGUGAUUAGGGGCUGCUCUUUUCUUAUUUUUGGGCCAAAGUAGUAAUUGGGCUUGUUGAAUUUUAAUAUUGUUAGUUUGGGUAUGCAGUUAGGAGUAUAAAAUUAGUUGGGCUGCUUAACGAAAUUAAUUAAAUCUCCGCUUUAGUUAUGAUACGAGAGCUUUCUAAAUUCAUGCUAAGGAAGAGCAAGGAUAAAAUGAACACCAUAUAGUAUAAUUUUAAAUAUAUUUUCUUUUUGCAAAAUCUAAUAUUUUGCAUAUCAUGUUCUUUUAAAAAGGGUGAUUUUUGCAUGCUAUUUGAGAACAGAGCUGAUUGACAAGUGAAGGAUUUAAGAGAAAGAGGUUGAGCGGUGACGAGCGGGGUGGGUGUUGAGUAGAGCUGGUGAAGAUUUGUGUUUGUUUUAAAACUUUCUGAAUAUAUUAUGUCUUCAUACAUAAUAGUAUUCUACUCUCGAAUGCUUCCGCUGAAUAUUGCUUCUUUCGCCAAGUAUUAUUGAGAUAAUUUUGUUUUCGAGUUGCUGAUUGUUGUAAUGAUACUCUGAUUUUAUUCGAGCUAUUCCCAUUUGUUUCGAGCUA